rnacentral:rRNA from 1 species
CGACCGGCGCACGGGUGAGUAACACGUAUGCAACCUGGCCGUGACAGAUGGAUAACCGGGAGAAAUCCCGCCUAAUACAGCAUGACGCCGGGAAGGGACAUCCCUUUCCGGCCAAAGGGGGUGACUCCGGUCACGGAUGGGCAUGCGGCGCAUUAGGUAGUUGGUGGGGCAACGGCCCACCAAGCCGACGAUGCGUAGGGGUUCUGAGAGGAAGGUCCCCCACACUGGUACUGAGACACGGACCAGACUCCUACGGGAGGCAGCAG